rnacentral:rRNA from 1 species
AUUGAACGCUGGCGGCAUGCCUUACACAUGCAAGUCGAACGGUAACGCGGGGCAACCUGGCGACGAGUGGCGAACGGGUGAGUAAUGCAUCGGAACGUGCCCAGUAGUGGGGGAUAGCCCGGCGAAAGCCGGAUUAAUACCGCCUACGACCUACGGGUGAAAGGGGGGGAUCGCAAGACCUCCCGCUAUUGGAGCGUCCGAGGUCAGAUUAGGUAGUUGGUGGGGUAAAGGCCUACCAAGCCGACGAUCUGUAGCUGGUCUGAGAGGACGACCAGCCACACUGGGACUGAGACACGGCCCAGACUCCUACGGGAGGCAGCAGUGGGGAAUUUUGGACAAUGGACGCAAGUCUGAUCCAGCCAUGCCGCGUGCGGGAAGAAGGCCUUCGGGUUGUAAACCGCUUUUGUCAGGGAAGAAACGGUUCUCUCUAAUACAGAGGGCUAAUGACGGUACCUGAAGAAUAAGCACCGGCUAACUACGUGCCAGCCGCCGCAGUAA